UACGUAGGGGGCAAGCGUUGUCCGGAUUUAUUGGGCGUAAAGAGCGUGUAGGCGGCUAUACAGGUCCGCUGUGAAAACUCGAGGCUCAACCUCGAGACGUCGGUGGAAACCGUAUGGCUAGAGUCCGGAAGAGGAGAGCGGAAUUCCUGGUGUAGCGGUGAAAUGCGCAGAUAUCAGGAAGAACACCCGUGGCGAAGGCGGCUCUCUGGGACGGUACUGACGCUGAGACGCGAAAGCGUGGGGAGCGAACAGG
rnacentral:rRNA from 1 species